GUGAUCAAAGAGAUCAGGGUCUCAGCCAGAUUCCUGACUGGGACCCCUCACAGGCUUAUUCCUGUAAACAAACCUAUUUGGUUGUUGAGUUGCUUUCUCUCCCUCACUCUCUUCCUUUAUAUUUUUCUAACAUUUGGUGCCAAAACCCAGAAUGGGGUCUGGGUUUCAUAGCGGAGAGGUUGUCUCUCACGGCUUCGUGUUCCCAGCCCCAUCUACCAUCCUUCUUCCCACCUUCACAUUCCACUCUCCUUCUUUUUCUUCUCCCCUCCCUACCCCUUUCUUUACUUGGCAACUCCAGCGAAAGGCCACCGCCAACUGAUGACCAGACAUCGCUUCGAACUGGUGCACGGAGCAAGUUAUUGGUGGAUCUACUAUUCUGGAGUCUGGAGAACGAUGGCCCUCUUCUCACAGCUCCAAUAGGCAGUGACUCAGUGGGACCCUGUGUGGGGGUCUAGCACCACAUUUCCUUUCUGUACUGCCUGAGCAGAAGUUCUCCAUGGGGGCUCCACUCCUGCAGCAAACUUCUGACUGGACAUCUAUGAAUUUCUAUACAUCCUCUGAAAUCAAGGUAGGGGUUUCCAAACCAUUCUUGACUUCUGUGCACCCGCAGGCCAAACACCACAUGUAAGCCAUUAAGACUUGGGACUUGUGCCCUCUGAAGCCAUGGACUGAGCUGUACCUUGGACCUUUUUCACCAAAGUUGGAGCAACUGGGACACAAAACACCAAGUCCUUAGGCUGCACACAGCAAGAGGGCCCUGGGCCUGACCCAGGAUACCGUUUAUUUCUCCUAAACUUCCAGGACAUGAGACUUCACAACCUGCUAAAAGUGAGCUUUUGGGACCUACUCAUCUAGGAAAAAAACAUCCUAGCCAUGAGAGAUCAGAUGAAACCUGAGACCAGAGACUAAUUUUCUUGCAAAAUGCUUUCUCCAGAGAAAUUUAAAAUACAAAAGGGGGAAAUGUAAAAGGACAAUAUCUUGGGACCCCAAAAUCACUAAGCUAAAAGGAAAACUCAAACUGGAAACUGCUUAGGGCAAAUCUGACUCCCAUUCUGUUCAAAUUUAUCCCUCUGCUCACCGAGAUAAAUGGAUAUCUGAUAGCCUUUCUUGGAAAGGCUAAUCAGAAACUCAAAGGAAUGUAGCCAUUUGUCUCUCACGUAUCUGUGACCCGCUUUGAGUCUUCCUGCCUUUGCUUUAACCAAGUUGUGACACCACCACCUUGGGCACAUGUCAGCAGGACUUUCUCAGGCUGUAUCAUGGGUGUGUGUCCUCAACCUUGGCGAAAUAAACUUUCUAAAUUAACUGAGACCUAUGUCAGAUUUUCUGAGUUUACAACCUAUACACUGAAAACUUAAAAAAAAAAUAGUAAAAAAUUGUAGACACAAAUAA
rnacentral:lncRNA from 10 species